UGUGCGCUGUGUUUUGAAGGGAUGAUUUUGAGAAGUGACUGUGGAGCUGUCUGGAGGAAAUGUUUUCUGGGGGAAAAGUUGGCUGUGGGCAGAGUGGAGUGAUUAUGCCCCCAAGAAUUCCUCACUAUUUACCUUCACAACAGUAGAUUGUUUCAUGUUCCUUUGCUGGCUGCAGUUGGAUGUGUGCACCGCAAAACCUGAAGAACCUCAGUCUGUUCACCAAAUUCACCUGUACUCCUUCCCUAAGAAGCAUGAAAGAUUACACCAGGGUUCAUCCGAGACAGUUAAUGCUCUGCUAUAUUGAGUGUGCAUUCCAGUCCUUUUCCUUGUUAGCAAGGGCUGGAGGUGCAGCUAGUGCUGCAGGCUGUUCACCUUCAGAGGGGGAGAGUGGUGGAGCAGCAGCCAAGCUGGACAGAUGACUUGCCCCUCUGCCAGCUGUCUGGGGUGGGCUCAGCUCCAAACCGUUCCUACAGUGCAGAUGGUAAGGGGACAGAAAGCCACCCAUGGGAGGAUAACUGGCUGAAAUUCAGGAGUGAGAACAACUACUACCUCUAUGGGGUCUUCAAUGGCUACGAUGGCAACCGGGUCACCAACUUCGUGGGCCAGAGGCUCUCCGCGGAGCUGUUGCUGGGCCAGCUAAGUGCAGAUCACAGUGAUGCUGAUGUGCGCCGGGUCCUGC